rnacentral:rRNA from 1 species
GAUGAACGCUGGCGGCGUGCCUAAUACAUGCAAGUCGAGCGAACGGACGAGAAGCUUGCUUCUCUGAUGUUAGCGGCGGACGGGUGAGUAACACGUGGAUAACCUACCUAUAAGACUGGGAUAACUUCGGGAAACAGGAGCUAAUACCGGAUAAUAUUUUGAACCGCAUGGUUCAAAAGUGAAAGACGGUCUUGCUGUCACUUAUAGAUGGAUCCGCGCUGCAUUAGCUAGUUGGUAAGGUAACGGCUUACCAAGGCAACGAUGCAUAGCCGACCUGAGAGGGUGAUCGGCCACACUGGAACUGAGACACGGUCCAGACUCCUACGGGAGGCAGCCGUAGGGAAUCUUCCGCAAUGGGCGAAAGCCUGACGGAGCAACGCCGCGUGAGUGAUGAAGGUCUUCGGAUCGUAAAACUCUGUUAUUAGGGAAGAACAUAUGUGUAAGUAACUGUGCACAUCUUGACGGUACCUAAUCAGAAAGCCACGGCUAACUACGUG